CAAGAGGCACACUUAUUUGACCUCACUUGUUUGGCAGAGUCUAUUUUUACAUUGCAACAAACACCAUCGAACAAUUUGUUAAAUAUAAAAAUAUUUAAACACCGUUCUCUAACAGCUUAAGUUUUUAGAGUAUAACAGUUGUUUCACAUAGUAUCAGAGAAUGAGGUCCUGUGUUCGAGUCACGCCAGACUCCUAGCAUAUUAAUUUUCUCCUAUUUAAUUCAAGCCCACGUCAUGAACCGACUAAAAAAUCUCAAGUCUAGACGUGGGAGGGAGUGUUAAAUAUAAAAAUAUUUAAACACCGUUCUUUAACAGCUUAAGUUUUUACCGUACAACGGUUGUUUCACACAAUUUACAGUACAGUUUGAGCGCUUUGAACUUGCUUAUUUUAGGCAUCAUCU
rnacentral:lncRNA from 1 species